AACCCUGUCUCAGUUCGGAUUGGAGUCUGCAACCCGACUCCAUGAAGCUGGAUUCGCUAGUAAUCGCGCAUCAGCCACGGCGCGGUGAAUACGUUCCCGGGCCUUGUACACACUGCCCGUCAAGCCAUGGAAGCCGGGAGUGCCUGAAGUGCGUGAGCGCAAGCAGCGCCCUAAGGUAAAACCGGUGACUGGGGCUAAGUCGUAACAAGGUAGC
rnacentral:rRNA from 1 species